rnacentral:lncRNA from 1 species
GGCUUCGAGCCCGUCGCGGCUGGGCCGGGCUGGUCUGGCAGGCGGGCCCAGCCGGGCAGGGCUGCUUUGCUAAUGGCGGCGGCUCUCUUUCCUUCCUUCCUCCUUUCCUCCGUCCCCCCGGUCGUGGGGAGCCCGGAGCAGGAGGCGGGCCCGCGGCCAGGUUCUGGGCCGGAGAAGGGGCGACGUUCGGGCACCCCCCGAAUGGACAAUCUUUCCUUCUGUCAACGGCAGGGGCAGGCCUAGUUUGACUCUGACAGUCCUCCCACUAAGGAAUUCCUGGUGACUGGAAGGGGGAGUGACUCAGGCCCUCAACCUCUAGCAGAGUGCCUUGGCUCCCUCCUGUCGUCCUGGGGAACCUCGGCCCCAGCCCUGCCUCCCCAGCCAGUCACAGCUCCUCCCUGGUCACCCUGAGGGAGCUCAGGGCCCGGCUGGUAGCUGGGUUGCUCUGCUUCUGUCCCCCACUCCUGUGGAGCCUGGCA